CUUAAACGGAUUUCUUCGGAUUGAAGUUUUUGCGACUGAGUGGCGGACGGGUGAGUAACGCGUGGGUAACCUGCCUCAAAGAGGGGGACAACAGUUGGAAACGGCUGCUAAUACCGCAUAAGCGCACAGAGCUGCAUGGCUCGGUGUGAAAAACUCCGGUGGUAUGGGAUGGGCCCGCGUCUGAUUAGGCAGUUGGCGGGGUAACGGCCCACCAAACCGACGAUCAGUAGCCGGCCUGAGAGGGCGACCGGCCACAUUGGGACUGAGAUACGGCCCAGACUCC
rnacentral:rRNA from 1 species